rnacentral:rRNA from 1 species
UACGUAGGGUGCGAGCGUUGUCCGGAAUUAUUGGGCGUAAAGAGCUUGUAGGCGGUUUGUCGCGUCUGCCGUGAAAAUUCGAGGCUCAACCUCGAACUUGCGGUGGGUACGGGCAGACUAGAGUGUGGUAGGGGAGACUGGAAUUCCUGGUGUAGCGGUGAAAUGCGCAGAUAUCAGGAGGAACACCGAUGGCGAAGGCAGGUCUCUGGGCCGUAACUGACGCUGAGGAGCGAAAGCAUGGGGAGCGAACAGG